rnacentral:rRNA from 1 species
ACAGCAGCAGCCACGGGAAUACGUAGGGUGCAAGCGUUAAUCGGAAUUACUGGGCGUAAAGCGUGCGCAGGCGGUUAUAUAAGACAGAUGUGAAAUCCCCGGGCUCAACCUGGGAACUGCAUUUGUGACUGUAUAGCUAGAGUACGGCAGAGGGGGAUGGAAUUCCGCGUGUAGCAGUGAAAUGCGUAGAUAUGCGGAGGAACACCGAUGGCGAAGGCAAUCCCCUGGGCCUGUACUGACGCUCAUGCACGAAAGCGUGGGGAGCAAACAGGAUUAGAUACCCCGGUAGUCCCUGUCUCUUAUAA